AACGAACGCUGGCGGCAGGCUUAACACAUGCAAGUCGAACGCCCCGCAAGGGGAGUGGCAGACGGGUGAGUAACGCGUGGGAACGUACCUUUCGCUUCGGAAUAUUCCCGGGAAACUGGGAGCAAUGCCGAAUACGCCGUAUUGGGAAAGAUUUAUCGGCGAAAGAUCGGCCCGCGUUACAUUAGCUAGUUGGCGGUGUAAUGGACCACCAAGGCUACGAUCUAUAGCUGGUCUGAGAGGAUGAUCAGCCACACUGGGACUGAGACACGGCCCAGACUCCUACGGGAGGCAGCAGUGGGGAAUCUUGGACAAUGGGCGCAAGCCUGAUCCAGCCAUGCCGCGUGAGUGGAGAAGGCCUUAGGGUUGUAAAACUCUUUCGCCGGAGAAGAUAAUGACGGUAUCCGGAGAAGAAGCCCCGGCUAACUUCGUGCCAGCAGCCGCGGUAA
rnacentral:rRNA from 1 species